GGCCAGACUCCUACGGGAGGCAGCAGUGGGGGAUAUUACACAAUGGGGGGAACCCUGAUGCAGCGACGCCGCGUGGGUGAAGAAGCGCCUCGGCGCGUAAAGCCCUGUCAGCAGGGAAGAAAAUGACGGUACCUGAAGAAGAAGCCCCGGCUAACUACGUGCCAGCAGCCGCGGUAAUACGUAGGGGGCAAGCGUUAUCCGGAUUUACUGGGUGUAAAGGGGGCGCAGACGGCGAUGCAAGCCAGGAGUGAAAGCCCGGGGCCCAACCCCGGGACUGCUCUUGGAACUGCGUGGCUGGAGUGCAGGAGGGGCAGGCGGAAUUCCUGGUGUAGCGGUGAAAUGCGUAGAUAUCAGGAGGAACACCGGUGGCGAAGGCGGCCUGCUGGACUGCAACUGACGUUGAGGCCCGAAAGCGUGGGGAGCAAACAGGAUUAGAUACCCGGGUACA
rnacentral:rRNA from 1 species